UACGUAGGGUGCAAGCGUUAUCCGGAAUUAUUGGGCGUAAAGAGCUCGUAGGCGGUUUGGCGCGUCUGCUGUGAAAACUGGAGGCUCAACCUCCAGCCUGCAGUGGGUACGGGCAGACUAGAGUGCGGUAGGGGAGAUUGGAAUUCCUGGUGUAGCGGUGGAAUGCGCAGAUAUCAGGAGGAACACCAAUGGCGAAGGCAGAUCUCUGGGCCGUAACUGACGCUGAGGAGCGAAAGCAUGGGGAGCGAACAGG
rnacentral:rRNA from 1 species